UACGGAGGAUGCGAGCGUUAUCCGGAUUUAUUGGGUUUAAAGGGUGCGUAGGCGGGAUGCCAAGUCUGCGGUAAAAAUGCGGUGCUCAACGCCGUCGAGCCGUUGAAACUGGCGUUCUUGAGUGGGCGAGAAGUAUGCGGAAUGCGUGGUGUAGCGGUGAAAUGCAUAGAUAUCACGCAGAACUCCGAUUGCGAAGGCAGCAUACCGGCGCCCUACUGACGCUGAGGCACGAAAGCGUGGGUAUCGAACAGG
rnacentral:rRNA from 1 species